rnacentral:tRNA from 1 species
GUUUGCGUAGCUCAGCUGGAUAGAGCGACCGCCUCCUAAGCGGUAGGCCAGCGGUUCGAAUCCGCUCGCGAACACCA